GUAUUUGUUUUGCCAUCACAGAUACUAAAAUUGGAAUGCUACAGAGAAGAUUAGUAAGACCCUUAAACAAAGAUGAUGUAAAUUUGUGAAGCAUUCCACUUAUUA